rnacentral:rRNA from 1 species
GAAUAUUGGACAAUGGGCGCAAGCCUGAUCCAGCCAUGCCGCGUGUGUGAAGAAGGCUUUCGGGUUGUAAAGCACUUUAAGCGAGGAGGAAGGCGCCAGGGCUAAUAUCUUUGGUGAUUGACGUUACUCGCAGAAUAAGCACCGGCUAACUCCGUGCCAGCAGCCGCGGUAAUACGGAGGGUGCAAGCGUUAAUCGGAAUUACUGGGCGUAAAGCGCGCGUAGGCGGCUUGUUAAGUCGGAUGUGAAAGCCCAGGGCUCAACCUUGGAACUGCACCCGAUACUGGCAGGCUAGAGUACAAGAGAGGGUGGUAGAAUUUCCUGUGUAGCGGUGAAAUGCGUAGAUAUAGGAAGGAAUACCGGUGGCGAAGGCGGCCACCUGGCUUGAUACUGACGCUGAGGUGCGAAAGCGUGGGGAGCAAACAGG